rnacentral:rRNA from 1 species
GACGAACGCUGGCGGCGUGCUUAACACAUGCAAGUCAAGGAGGUGCGGUAGCAAUACUGUAUCGACUGGCGCACGGGUGCGGAACACGUAGGUAAUCUGCCCAAAAGGGGAGAACAACCAGCCGAAAGGUUGGCUAAAUCUCCGUAACAUGAGAGACCGGCAUCGGUUUUUCAUCAAGCUUUCUUUUGGAUGAGCCUGCGUCUGAUUAGCUGGUUGGCGGGGUAAUGGCCCACCAAGGCUACGAUCAGUAGCUGGUCUGAGAGGAUGAUCAGCCACAUUGGGACUGAGACACGGCCCAGACUCCUACGGGAGGCAGCAGUGAGGAAUAUUGCUCAAUGGACGAAAGUCUGAAGCAGCAACGCCGCGUGAGGGAUGAAGGUGCUCUGCAUCGUAAACCUCUGUAGAGGGAGACAAACUUCGAGUUACUACUCGAUUGAUGGUACCCCUAAAGUAAGGAUCGGCUAACUACGUGCCAGCAGCCGCGGUAAUACGUAGGAUCCAAGCGUUGUCAGGAUUUACUGGGUGUAAAGGGUGCGCAGGCGGGCUGGUAAGUCAGGAGUGAAAUCUCGGCGCUCAACGCCGAAACUGCUUUUGAUACUAUCGGUCUUGAAUAAGCGAGAGAUUCGUGGAAUUCCGAGUGUAGCAGUGAAAUGUGUAGAUAUUCGGAAGAACACCAGUGGCGAAGGCAGCGAAUUGGCGCUUUAUUGACGCUCAGGCACGAAGGCAUGGGGAUCAAACAGGAUUAGAUACCCUGGUAGUCCAUGCCCUAAACGAUGAUCACUUGGUGUCGGCCGCAAGGUCGGUGCCGGAGCUAACGCGUUAAGUGAUCCACCUGGGGAGUACGCUCGCAAGGGUG